rnacentral:rRNA from 1 species
AUGGACAACAGGUUGAUAUUCCUGUACCGAUAUUUAAUUGCCGAAGGAAGGACGCAGAAGGAUAACACAGGCCACUAUUGGAUGUGGUUUUAAACAGUUAGUCUUCAUAAGAGUCAAAUGCUUUUAUGUUUAAGGAUAAGCUGUGAAUGUACCAAGUUUACUUGGAAAUUGUGUGAUUUCACGCUGCUGAAAAAAGUUUCGUAGGAAGAAAAUAUUGCCCGUACCGCAAACCGACACAGGUACUCAAGUGGAGAACACUAAGGUGAGCGAGUGAACUAUUGUUAAGGAACUCUGCAAAAUGAGUCCGUAACUUCGGAAGAAGGACUGCUGGUUUUAUACCAGCCGCAGCAAAUAGGCCCAAACAACUGUUUAUCAAAAACACAGGUUUCUGCAAAAUCGUAAGAUGAAGUAUAGGGGCUGACGCCUGCCCAGUGCUGGAAGGUUAAAAGGAGGACUUAGCUUCGGCGAAGGUCUUAAUUGAAGCCCCAGUGAACGGCGGCCGUAACUAUAACGGUCCUAAGGUAGCGAAAUUCCUUGUCGGGUAAGUUCCGACCCGCAUGAAAGGCGUAAUGAUUUGGGCGCUGUCUCAACAAUAGACUCGGUGAAAUUUAAAUUCCAGUGAAGAUGCUGGGUACCCGCGACAGGACGGAAAGACCCCGUGGAGCUUUACUGUAGCUUGAUAUUGAAUGUUUGUGCUGCAUGUGCAGGAU